CCUACGGGAGGCAGCAGUGAGGAAUAUUGGUCAAUGGACGGAAGUCUGAACCAGCCAAGCCGCGUGAAGGAUGACGGCCCUAUGAGUUGUAAACUGCUUUUGUACGGGAAUAAAAGGUCUUACGUGUAGGGUUUUGAAUGUACCGUAUGAAUAAGGAUCGGCUAACUCCGUGCCAGCAGCCGCGGUAAUACGGAGGAUUCGAGCGUUAUCCGGAUUUAUUGGGUUUAAAGGGUGCGUAGGCUGUCGGGUAAGUUAGUGGUCAAAUGUUGGGGCUUAACCCCGAAACUGCCGUUGAUACUGGUCGUCUUGAGUGCAGAUGCGGCAGGCGGAAUGCGUAGUGUAGCGGUGAAAUGCUUAGAUAUUACGCAGAACACCGAUUGCGAAGGCAGCUUACUAAUCCGCAUCUGACGCUGAUGCUCGAAAGCGUGGGUAGCGAACAGGAUUAGAUACCCCUGUAGUC
rnacentral:rRNA from 1 species